rnacentral:rRNA from 1 species
AUGAAGGGCCACCACCACCACCACCUGGCGCCGCUUUCGCCGCCGGCGGCGACGGCGGCCAAGCGCCGCUGCACCGGCAUGGCGGCCGCCGUCCCGGCGCUGGUGCUCUGCUCCGUCCUCCUGCCGCUCGCCUUCCUCCUCGGCCUCCACAGCACCGGGUACGGAUCGGAGGAGCGCGCGGCCGUCGUCAUCAGCACCGAACUGGGGCUGGGGAAGCACAAGCAUCUUGAUGGGGCCAUGAGGCACAAGCUGCUCAAGGAUGUUUCCAAAAUGAUAACCUCGGGGUCGAACGGGAUUUCCAGCGAGAAAUCUAGUAGAUCAAAGUCCAGGAAUCUUGCUGCCAGAUCAAAAAUCAAGGAUGCUUUCUCCUUUGUUGAGCUAAACAAUGACACAUCCAAAAAGAGAGGAUCUCAUACACAAAGAUAUCAACUAAAGGACUUGUCAUGGAGAUCAACGGAUACUGCUGUUGAUGGGAAGGAGAGCCAAGGCCAGGAAGUAGCACAAGAGGAGAAUCCCAAGUCCUGUGAACUUGAAUAUGGAAGCUAUUGCCUCUGGUCUGUUGAGCAUAAGGAAGAGAUGAAAGAUGCUAUUGUGAAGAGGCUUAAAGAUCAACUGUUUAUGGCCAGAGCCUAUUAUCCUAGUAUUGCAAAACUGAAGCACCAGGAAAGAUUUACACGUGAGUUGAAGCAACAUAUCCAAGAACACGAACGCAUGCUCAGUGACACCAUUGCAGAUGCUGAUCUUCCACCAUUUUUCACAAAGAAGCUAGAGAAAAUGGAAGGCACAAUUGAGAAAAUCAAGUCUUGUGAAGUAGGCUGCUCCAAUGUUGAACGGAAACUUAGGCAGCUACUCGAUCUAACUGAAGAUGAAGCUUAUUUCCAUACAAGGCAGAGUGCAUUUCUCUAUCAUCUCGGGGUCCAGACUAUGCCAAAAACUCACCAUUGUUUGAGCAUGAGAUUGACAGUAGAGUAUUUCAAAUCUGUAUCUCCUCAAAGGGAGCUAUUAAAUAAGCAGAAAUUUGAAGACCCUGCCUUCUAUCACUAUGUAAUGUUCUCCAGGAAUGUACUUGCAGCUUCGACUACUAUCAAUUCAACAGCCAUGAACUCCAAGGAUUCUGGCAGCGUUGUUUUCCAUGUAUUCACCGACACCCAGAAUUUUUAUGCAAUGAAGCAUUGGUUUGACAGGAACUCAUAUUUGGACGCUAAUGUCCACGUGACUAACAUUGAGGAUCACAACAAGCUCUCUAAGGAUGUUGAAUCUCUUGAGAGGCAACAAUUAUGGCCUACAGAGGAAUUUCGUGUCACGUUUCGUAAUCAUUCUCAGCCUCUCCGGAGGCAGAUGAAAACUGAGUACAUAUCUGUUUUUGGCCAUUCACAUUUCCUCUUGCCUGAUCUUCUUCCUAGCUUGAAUAGAGUAGUUGUUCUAGAUGAUGAUAUGAUUGUCCAGAAAGACUUGUCAUCUCUUUGGAACCUCAAUAUGGGAGACAAAGUAAUAGGUGCUGUACAGUUCUGUGGAGUUAGAUUAGGUCAGUUGAAAGCUUAUGUAGAGGAAAACAAUUUCGACGCGGAUUCAUGCGUGUGGUUCUCUGGUCUGAAUGUAAUUGAAUUGGAGAAAUGGAGAGAUCUUGGCAUUACCAGCUUGCAUGAUCAAUCACUUCAGAAGGAUAGUUCGGUAUCACAUAGACUUGAAGCACUCCCUACAGGUUUACUUGCCUUUCAAGACCUGAUAUAUCCUUUGAAAGGUUCAUGGGUUCAGUCCGGUCUUGGAUACGAUUAUGGAAUUAGCCGUGUCGAUAUAGAAAAGGCGGCUGCUCUGCACUACAAUGGUGUCAUGAAACCUUGGCUUGAUUUGGCAAUACAUGAUUACAAGAGCUACUGGAGAAAGUAUAUGACUAAUGGGGAGAGGUUCAUGGCAGAAUGCAAUAUACAUUAA